rnacentral:rRNA from 1 species
UACAGAGGGGGCGAGCGUUGUUCGGAAUUACUGGGCGUAAAGGGCGCGUAGGCGGCCUUCUAAGUCGAACGUGAAAUCCCCGGGCUCAACCCGGGAACUGCGUCCGAUACUGGAAGGCUUGAAUCCGGGAGAGGGAUGCGGAAUUCCAGGUGUAGCGGUGAAAUGCGUAGAUAUCUGGAGGAACACCGGUGGCGAAGGCGGCAUCCUGGACCGGCAUUGACGCUGAGGCGCGAAAGCCAGGGGAGCAAACGGG